GACAGAGGAUGCAAGCGUUAUCCGGAAUGAUUGGGCGUAAAGCGUCUGUAGGUGGCUUUUUAAGUCCGCCGUCAAAUCCCAGGGCUCAACCCUGGACAGGCGGUGGAAACUACCAAGCUGGAGUACGGUAGGGGCAGAGGGAAUUUCUGGUGGAGCGGUGAAAUGCGUAGAUAUCAGGAGGAACACCUGUGGUGUAGACGGCUUUCUGGACCAUCACUGACGCUGAGACACGAAAGCGUGGGUAGCAAACAGG
rnacentral:rRNA from 1 species